rnacentral:rRNA from 1 species
CCUACGGGUGGCAGCAGUCGAGAAUCAUUCUCAAUGGGCGAAACCCUGAACCAGCAACGCCGCGUGGAGGAUGAAGGUUCUCGGAUUGUUAACUCUUUUUGUUAGAGAAGAUAAUGACGGUAUCUAACGAAUAAUCACCGGCUAACUCCGUGCUAGCAGCCGCGGUAAUACGGAGGGUGCAAGCGUUAUUCGGAAUCACUGGGCGUAAAGGGCGCGUAGGCGGGAUAGCAAGUCAGUUGUGAAAUCCUAUGGCUUAACCAUAGAACUGCAUUUGAAACUGGUAGUCUAGAGUAUGGGAGAGGUAGGUGGAAUUCGUGGUGUAGGGGUAAAAUGCGUAGAGAUCAAGAGGAAUACUCAUUGCGAAGGCGACCUGCUAGAACAUAACUGACGCUGAUGCGCGAAAGCGUGGGGAGCAAACAGGAUUAGAUACCCGGGUAGUC